UGGCACGCGGCACGUGCAAAGAGCAUGGCGAUUCGAUUUGUUUCUCGACGUCGCCAUUGUCGCAUCAGCGAGCCAGGUAAGAAAACGGAUUUUAUUUUUAAAUUUCUUAAGGGAGGCGUAAAGAAGGGAAAUUCGGCAAACCUAGAGAAAAGUAAGACAGGUAUAUAUAGCGGUGUUUGGGUGGGCGGAUUGUAAAAAAAGGUGGUUGUGAGGGUGGUUGUAAGGCAAUGGAGGGCGGUUAGUACACAGUAAGAGAAUAUAACUGAGGGCGGAUUGUAGACAAAUCUGCCGGUUGGUGGUUAGAGGGAAAACCGGACGUGGGUUAGGGUUUCAAUUUGGGUUCCACGUGCCCUGUUGACUCCACGCACACUUAGGAGAGUGUCAUACACUUUCUUCAUUUUAUAUUAAAAAAGAUUGGAUUUUCAGUUUUGGGUGGGAAUGGGGAGCGCUUAAAACUGGCGCCUAAAUUCGAAGCGUUUUAGCGGCCUGAGGCGAGUGUGGCGCAUGGAGAUUGGUGGGGUGUGAGAAUCUAGUACUGCUUGUCUCCUUAUUCUAUCACAAAAUUGGCUUGCCUCCAUUUGCCUCAUUGCUUCAUAAAUUCGCCAUUUCUUUUAAUUAAAUCAAAUCUUGCCUUCAAAUAAUAUUCUAUUCUUUUUCUUUUUCAAAUUUCAACAUUAGUUUGGCUCCAUAACCAAAAUUAUUACUACUGCCUCCCACAGAAAUAUAAUCCUGUGAGGAUAAAUCUAACAUAAAUUCAACGGCAAGAUAAAGCUUAAUAAUUAGAUAUUUAUAUAAAAAUUAUAUAUAAUUAAUUUUUAUACAUGUAAUGAAUGUAUGAACUCACGUACGGAUAUUUAAACUAAUCAUUAUCAAAUUCAUCCCAUAUGAAUUUGAAUGCUUUAUAGUAUUAUUUAUUUUAUUUUAUAGAAUAUAUUUUUAGAGAAAGAAUGUUUUAGGUUUGAAAUAUUUAGAAAAAUUAAUUAAUAAAAAUCAUUAUUCUGAUUAAAGAAAAUUUUAAAUUUUUUAUUUUUAUAUUUAAAAAUUUAUUAAAAUUUUUUAUAUAAAUUUAUUAAUCUAUUUUUUAAAAAUUAAAAUUAAAUUAUUUUAUUAAAAAAUAUAUUCCUAUUAUUCACAUAUUUUUAAAUUUCUUUUAAAAUAAAUUAUUUUUACUCAAAAAAAUAAAAAUUAUAAUUUUUAAAAAUAAAUUACAUUCUAAUUUUUAAAUUUUCGCGUAAUUAAUGAAUUUAUUUCAAAAUUUUUAAAAUUAAACAUUUAAAUUUCUAUAUAAUCAAAGAUUAUUUACUCUAUAAUUUUAUUAGUCAAUCGAUUAAAAAAAAUAAAUAUUUUAAAUAUUUAAAUAUUUUUAUAAAUAUUUUAAAUAUUUAAAUAUUUUUAUAAAUAUUUAAAUUAAAUUCUUUUUAAUAUAAAUAAUAAUUUCAUAUUAUAUAAAAUACAUUUUGAUUCUAAAAUUUUAGAAUAACUGAUAAAUAGUAUUAUAUUUUUAAAACUAAAUUCAUAAAUUUUUAUAUUUAAUUUCGAUAAAAUUAGAUUACUUUUAUUUAUUAUAAAUUUUUAUCUAUUAUAAAUAUUAAUUUUAAAUUAUUGAAUAAUUAAACUUUUUUAUAAGUAUAAUUUUAAAUAAAAAAUAAAAAAUAAAAAUAUUUAAAUUAUAAUAAAUAAAAAUAGACUGAUUAUAAAAAGUUUUAAAUAUAUAUUUUUAAAAAUAUAAAAAUUUAUUCAUUAAUUAUAUUAAAUUUUAAAAAUUUAAACGUAAUUUAUUAAUUAAAAAAUAUAAUAAAAAUAUUUUUAUAUUUUUAUCAGUUAAAAUAAAUAAAAUAAUUUUUAAUUUAAAUGAUCUGAUUAUAAAAAAUUUUAAUAUUUAAUUUAUUCAUUAAUUAUAUUAAAAUUAAAUAAUUAAAAUAUAAUUUACUUUUAUUUUUAAUUUAAUGAAUAUAAUUACAGAGCAGAGCAAGUUGGAAGAUCCUUUGUUUUGGAUGUUGCGACGAUAAUAUAACGGCCCGUUCAUAUUAUCCAUUUAACAAACCAGAAGAGAACGAAUAAACGAAAACUAAAGUUAUUGGAAAGUUUGUACAAAAAUCCCGCUGAGCGAUGGACAAGUGUUUCCAGUUGCCACGUGUGAGGAGGUCUAUGGGCCGCUGCAACCGCCCACCUGUCAUUUUUAACCAAGUAUUUUUGGAUGCUUUUUGUAUUAUAUGUAUUUGCCGGCCUCCUCCCUUUAGCAUGCCACGUCUUGCACAUAUAUAUAUAAUAUUCAUUCACCAUUUAUUUUUCUUUUGAGAAAUUCACAAUUUUUUUUUUUGUCACUGAUAUAUUCGCAAUUUAAUUUGUGGUAUAGUAACAUUCCAUUAUUCGGUUUUUUAAUUUCAAAAAAUAUAUUAAUUAUUUUUUAUUAAUUUUAACUGUUUAAUAUUUUAUUUUUAAUUUUAAUUCUAUAAAAAAUUAUUAGAUAAUUUCUUAAUUUUAUAAAAUAUUUAUUAAUGUUUUUUAUAUUUAUUAUAUUUUAAAUUUUUUAAUAAAAUUUAAUGAUUAAAAUUAAUAAAAAAAUUAAUUAAUAAUUUUUUAAAAAUCUCAAAAUUAUAUUAAUAUAUUUUUAAAAAUAAUUAAUAAAUUUUUAUAUAUUAUAAAGAGUAGAAAUAAUUUUUCCAUUUUCUUUAUUUUCAGAUGUUUUAAAUUUUCAACGGACUAUUGGAGUUACGGUACCCUCUACUUUCGGAGCUGUCUUGGCUUUUGACUGCUGCAUUAACUAAAUUUUUAUAUAACUAUAUAUUAUUUUUAAUUUUUUAAUAUAAAAUUUGCAAUUUAAAUAAUGAUAUUUUUUUUUGUUAAAAAAAAUGAUUUUUUUUAUAUUAUAAAUCGGAGAUUAAUAAAAAAAAGUUAAUUGAAUUAUACUCUUAAAUUUCAUAUUCUAAACUGGAAAAAAUAUCUCGUCUUUUUUUUUUCAAUCAGUUUAUAGAAUAAGGAGUUAGAAGAUAAUUGUUUCAUAUAUAAAUGUUGACUAGGUCAAGGUAAUGCCCAAGUUUGACCUUGACCAUUUCCUUUGAAUGUAUAUGCAUGUAAAGAUGUUGAUGUAUGUCUACUAAUUUUAUUCAAAGCUAUUCCAUCAAUGGGAAAGCAAGAUAUCUUCUCUCUCUAGUUCUUUGGUUCUUUAGAGGGUGAACUUUGCUCUAGACAGUUUCUUCAUAUGGGAGUCGAGUCUCUCGUUCAAGGAGACAAUCUCUUUUCUUCUGUCUGGAGACUAGGUUAUCUUUUAUUGAGAUAUUUCUUGCAUGCAAGUUUAAAUCUUCAUUGGUCCUGCACAUAAAAUUCAUUACUCUAAUUUAGCUAUAGGUAAUUUGGUGGUGGCUUGCAGAGCUAAGCUUGAAAGGCGCAAUGAAUUACUGCAGAGCUGAGCUUCACGGUAGUUGGCUAUCAUUCGAUUUGCUGAAGUUUUCUUUAACUCGAAUAUGCAAUGACAAUUCUUCAUCAUCUAAACACGAGCCCUUUUCUUUUGAAAGCUUCCUAAUUUGCCUUGUGAGGAAGCUAUGAAGUUUUAUGUGCUUUUCUCUUUAGGCUUCAGUGGAACGUAUGGCUAAAAUUAGUUAGGAGAUUUUCUCAGCCUCUCUAGCUUCCACGGACUUGGUUGGCCAAGAGAGAAACGGUAACUGUAAAUUCCUUCCACUAAAUCCUCGGUUUCUCAUCUGGGCUUUUCUCAACUUUUAAUUCAAUUUGCUCUUAAAUGAAAUCACCUACAUCUUCGACAAACAAAAACUCCAUCCAGUGAAUAAAACAAUUAAAUAAUUUCUGCAAUUGCAGGUGGGAGGUGGCCACGGGCUUAGUUCAUGACCCUGCAUAACCUCCUGAUGUCUGCUUAAGCAUUCGCAAGAACAUCCAGAGAACCCAUGUGAAGCAUUGCCUUUGCAAACUUGGCAGCCCCAUGCCCCACCAAUCCUUGCAUUGUCCACCCCCAUCCUAGAAGCACUGUUCAUCUUUCCUUAUUCUAUGUAAUAUUUGUUGUCCAUGCGAUUAGGCGUAGGAUCAAGCACCACUGUUGGACUUCUGCUAGCCCCAUUGGCAUUAGGUGGCGGGCACUGCGUCUACAAGAAAGCCGCAUAUCUAGGGUCCAUGGAUGGAUCCUGGGCACGAGUCUUUCGUUUAUGUUGGGGACUAAUCCAGCUCUGAU
rnacentral:lncRNA from 1 species